rnacentral:lncRNA from 1 species
UGGGAAUCUUACCAAAAUGAAUGUAAUAAACAUUCAUUUUAAAGUUAAGGAUCCAGUUCAUCCAAGACACCUCAAAGAGUACAAAAUGUAACUUACCAUAUAAAGUCAUGAUGUCCUGUUCCAGAAUGAAUUCCUUCACUAUACUAAUCCAUAGAACUUAUGGAACUACUAAUCAAACACAAUAUAAAGUCUAUGAGCACAAAGUGCAUCAAAACAUACAAAUAUAUCAGGAUCACAACAAAGACAUCAAUCCUCCAUUACUGUUUUCAAAACUACCACCAAAACUGGGGGCAAGGCUUAAUAAACCAAUCAGAAUACAAGAAAACCUAUACACUCUAGUGAACAGUGAGUACUGAUAGUAAAAUCAAUAAUAGGUAAAUGCUACAAGGUAAAC